rnacentral:rRNA from 1 species
AGUGAACGCUGGCGGUAGGCCUAACACAUGCAAGUCGAACGGCAGCACAGGAGAGCUUGCUCUCUGGGUGGCGAGUGGCGGACGGGUGAGGAAUACAUCGGAAUCUACUCUGUCGUGGGGGAUAACGUAGGGAAACUUACGCUAAUACCGCAUACGACCUACGGGUGAAAGCAGGGGACCUUCGGGCCUUGCGCGAUUGAAUGAGCCGAUGUCGGAUUAGCUAGUUGGCGGGGUAAAGGACCACAACGGCGACGAUCCGUAGCUGGUCUGAGGGGAUGAUCAGCAACACUGGAACUGAGACACGGCCCAGACUCCGACGGGAGGCAGCAGUGGGGAAUAUUGGACAAUGGGCGCAAGCCUGAUCCAGCCAUACCGCGUGGGUGAAGAAGGCCUUCGGGUUGUAAAGCCCUUUUGUUGGGAAAGAAAUCCAGCUGGCUAAUACCCGGUUGGGAUGACGGUACCCAAAGAAUAAGCACCGGCUAACUUCGUGCCAGCAGCCGCCGUAA